GACGAACGCUGGCGGCGUGCUUAACACAUGCAAGUCGAACGAUGAAGAAGAGAAACGCGAACUUCGGUUCAAAUUUCACUUCGGAUUAGUGGCAGACGGGUGAGUAACGCGUGAGCAACCUACCUCUUACAAAGGGAUAGCCUCGGGAAACCGUGAUUAAUACCAUAUGACACAUUCAUAAGGCAUCUUAAGAAUGUUAAAGCUACGGCGGUAAGAGAUGGGCUCGCGUCCCACUAGCUAGUUGGUGAGGUAACGGCCCACCAAGGCGACGAUGGGUAACCGGCCUGAGAGGGUGAACGGUCACAUUGGAACUGAGACACGGUCCAAACUCCUACGGGAGGCAGCAGUGGGGAAUAUUGCACAAUGGAGGGAACUCUGAUGCAGCGACGCCGCGUGAGCGAUGAAGGAAUUCGUUUCGUAAAGCUCUGUUCUAUGGGAAGAAAAGGACUGUACCAUAGGAGAAAGCCCCGGCUAAAUACGUG
rnacentral:rRNA from 1 species